AAUCACUCAAAUUACUCAUUUUGGAAUCCCAUAUAAACAACAAAACAUUGCGAAUCUCAUAUAAACAACAUUAAACAACAAAUUGUUUGAACAUUCCUAAAAAUUGUAUUCCCUUCUCAUGCAAUAGUCAUAUUUUUCUUCUCUUUUCCGUAUUCUUCCCAACAACCACAUACAACACAAACACAACAAUUUAGCUAUAAAACAAAAUCAAUAUAGCUUACCACCAUCUCAUUUUCCC
rnacentral:lncRNA from 1 species